rnacentral:tRNA from 1 species
UCUCAGGUGGCUCAGUGGUAAAGAAUCUGCCUGCCAAGCAGGAGAUGGGGGUUCAAUCCCUGGUCUGGGAA